GAGAUUGCAGCUGUUCCCUGUCAGUGGAAGCAGCAGCAGUCAGAGGCGGCGGCCACGGUUGGCGGCGUCGGGGCGGAGGUUGCAUUUGCCUUCUGGAGAGCUGACAACAGCAAGGAUCAGUCCACUCAGCAGGGCCCAAAAGACCUGUCACUUGGAGAGUCUGUUCAAGAAGUCUCUGAGGAACCCCGGGCUUGGAUGGACUAGA